AUUGAACGCUGGCGGCAGGCCUAACACAUGCAAGUCGAGCGGAUGAGAGGAGCUUGCUUCUCGAUUCAGCGGCGGACGGGUGAGUAAUGCCUAGGAAUCUGCCUGGUAGUGGGGGACAACGUUUCGAAAGGAACGCUAAUACCGCAUACGUCCUACGGGAGAAAGCAGGGGACCUUCGGGCCUUGCGCUAUCAGAUGAGCCUAGGUCGGAUUAGCUAGUUAGUGAGGUAAUGGCUCACCAAGGCGACGAUCCGUAACUGGUCUGAGAGGAUGAUCAGUCAAACUGGAAAUGAGACACGGUCCAGACUCCUACGGGAGGCAGCAGUGGGGAAUAUUGGACAAUGGGCGAAAGCCUGAUCCAGCCAUGCCGCGUGUGUGAAGAAGGUCUUCGGAUUGUAAAGCACUUUAAGUUGGGAGGAAGGGUUGUAGAUUAAUACUCUGCAAUUUUGACGUUACCGACAGAAUAAGCACCGGCUAACUCUGUGCCAGCAGCCGCAGUAAGAC
rnacentral:rRNA from 1 species